AUUGAACGCUGGCGGCAUGCCUUACACAUGCAAGUCGAACGGUAACGGGCCUUCGGGUGCCGACGAGUGGCGAACGGGUGAGUAAUACAUCGGAACGUGCCCGAUCGUGGGGGAUAACGAGGCGAAAGCUUUGCUAAUACCGCAUACGAUCUACGGAUGAAAGCAGGGGACCGCAAGGCCUUGCGCGGACGGAGCGGCCGCUGGCAGAUUAGGUAGUUGGUGGGAUAAAAGCUUACCAAGCCGACGAUCUGUAGCUGGUCUGAGAGGAUGAUCAGCCACACUGGGACUGAGACACGGCCCAGACUCCUACGGGAGGCAGCAGUGGGGAAUUUUGGACAAUGGGCGCAAGCCUGAUCCAGCCAUGCCGCGUGCAGGAUGAAGGCCUUCGGGUUGUAAACUGCUUUUGUACGGAAAGAAAAGCCUUCUUUUAAUACAGGAGGUUCAUGACGGUACCGUAAGAAUAAGCACCGGCUAACUACGUG
rnacentral:rRNA from 1 species